rnacentral:lncRNA from 15 species
CUCCCUCUUCCAUCAAACAAUCACCACGGCCACACACCCCACGAUUCAGCACCCUCAGAGUGGACACAGACCAAAAACAAAGCCACUAUAGAGGCGGUCAAAGCGCUGCGUUACAACAGCAGCCGACCAGCAACAAAGGGCAAGCUUAGGCGGGGCUCCACAAGAGAGGUGGAGAAGACAAAGUGUAAGCCCAGAGAGGAGGGGAGGAAGGUGGGAACCCAGGGGGUCAGGGGGGUCAUGGACACUAAACCGAGAGUGAAGGUUAAUGAACCUGGUGGGCUCCAGUUCUCAGAGCAGGCACCUCCUCAGUCUAUCUACAACCACCCUCUGUACAAAGUCAUCAAAGAGGAGCCAGCAGAACCUGUGCCAGUCGGACAGUUCUCUGAUCCUCCCUCACCAGACCUGGGCAAGCGCCAGAGCAAGCCCCCCAUCAAAUUACUGGACUCAGGCUUUCUGUUCAGCUUUUGUCGGCCAGCAGGGGGUGCGAUGGCGGCACUGAAGAAAGAGGAGGAGAGCGUGGAUAUCUGCUUAACACGCUCUGUGUCACAAGUUGGGGAGAAAUUUGGAACGGAGGAGUCCCCCCACAGGGCCCUGAGAGCCAGAGGGACACCCACCCUGCCUGUAGUGAAGAGGGAGAGGGAGGAGAGGAGCGUGAGCCAAAGCAAGGUUCAGAGACUAAGGUCAAACUCCCGAAACAACACUCUUCACCUGGCCAAAUCUGCAGGUUCAAAAGCCCCAAGGACUGUGCCAAAGCAGCAAGUUAGACGCCCUCUGAGCACCAGGAGCUGUGUCAUGCAGGAUGCUGUACGACGUGCAAGGCUAAAGCAGCUUCGAGGGCCUCGUAGUCAAGCUCCCAAAGUCCCAAAGGCGGCCCAUGCCUGUCUUCAGUGCCCAGCCUCCUACAAGGACUGUGAUGCUCUAAUCAUGCAUCGCCUCAGGCACAUCGAGGGCAAGCACUGGCCAUGUCUGCUCUGCAGCAAGACGUUCUUUCGUCUGAGGAAUGUACGGAACCACAUCCGCACCCACGACCCCAAGUUGUACAAAUGCCGGAGCUGCAUUGUUGCCGGUUCCUGAGGCAGCUGGAGGGUCUGCUCUAGCAGCGAGACUGAGGAUGAAGGCUGUCAGUGUCUGACACCAGCGAACAGACUGAAGCCAGAGGCACAUGAUCGAUCAGCAGCUUGUACAUAAUGCAUCUGUCACACACAAGCACAACGGUCUGUGGAAAGGCAUAAUUACUCUAUUUCUAAUCAUUGCUGUUGUCAAUGAUUGCUAAUGUUAUUUAAAUAACCAAACCAAGGUUGCUGGUCCUGUUUGCUUUUCCGUAGCUACAGAAGGUUAAACUUGAACAUUACACUCAGGGGGCGGGGAAUGUGAUGCCACGGUAUAAAGUGAUUUAACGUCACAGUUGUGUAUAAAAUGAAAUGUAAAGUGAUUGUUAUAACUAUUACUGCUACUUAUUGUUAUCAUUAUUUUUCUAUGUAUAGAUGAAUUUUGAGUGCACUUAUAUCAUGGCUUAUGUUGUAAACCUAAGAAGUGGUAAUGAAAUUGAAGGUUUCCACGGAGGGAAUACUUGAAGUGAUGCGAGUGCUGGAGGGAAUACUUGAAGUUAGAGGGAGUCUUAGGAGUGAGACUGUCCUUUUUGGGUGUUUCAGUGGGUCUUUGUCCUUUGGUGUGCUAACUUGACUAGUUUGCCCCUCCUUUCGUAUUGAUCUGCUCGUCUCUCAUAGCCCAUGAGUCGGGAUUUGACAAUGGGCUUUUAUGGUGACACCACUGCAUGUGUAUUUGCAGGCUGUUUGUAGUCCACUGUCUUUUCUAAGGCUGCCAAUUUUAAAAAGGGAAACGUGUCUGGUUUUUAAUGUGAAUUUCUCAAUAUUAAUCAACACAACUGUGUCAUUACAGAUGUUUUAUUGAUCUCUUCUUCCACUUCAAUCCAAGACACUCGUCUUGUUCUACUUCAAAUUCCCCUCCUACUGAGUCAAUGCAAUGUGUUCACAUGAAGAGAUGUUUAUGUUUCACAAAUUGAUUUUAGAAAUAAAUGAGCUGUCUCUUGCUAUCUGUUAAAAGACUGAAUAAAUUUUUGCUUUUUAUAUCUUGUUAUUCUUGCUUUGAUUGCGGGGUUUUAUAUAUACUGUACACUGAAACUGAAAGAGACACAAUUAUCUGGAGUUGGGAGUUAUGUUUGGAGUUUGAGGAGGAUUGCUGAAACAAUUAGUCGAUUAACUACUAUUAAUCAGCUAUUUAGAUUGAUUUAUUGUAAAAUAAUUUGAGUAUUUGCUUUUUUUGUCUUCUGUAAUAUUAAAUUUAAUAUAUUUAGGUUUUUUACUGAAAUAACAAGAGGUUGUUUUAGGCUUUAGGAAUUUUUUCUUUAAUUAAAAAAAAUGAAUUUAGAAAAUAAUUAGCACAUUAAGAGAAACAAAGUAAUUGUUACAUGCAGUCUUGGGAGAGAAAACAUUUCCAUACAAAAUAUGAACUGUAUGACAUUGUUCUACUGCAUACACAAAUAUAGUGGUGGUGAAUAGACACUGGAUUGUUGGAUGCAUCUGCAGUGGGUUAUGCAUUUCUGAGCGCUGCGUUUAUCCAGGCGGGAGGAGGAUGAGGAGUUUUGUCUGGGGAGGUCAUGAUCCAGGAAGAAUGAAGAAGAGCGUUAGGCAUGUAUCACACAUCUUUGCAUCCUUUCUUACUGACUCAUCUGCAGCUAAAAUAGAGGUCUUUAUAUUAUCACGUGCAGCUGGAUGAGAUGAAAUACAGACUUGUGUUCAAUUAAGUUAAAAUGAAACUCAUGAUCCCUCUGGAGGACAUUUGGCCACUACAACAACAGACUCGGAUAGGAAAUACACAGCAAGGAUGGGUAGAAGCAAAUAAUAGUUCUAGGAGACAAGGAAGGCAUAUUGAGGUGUGGAAUGAAGCAGCAGGAGUUCACAGCAACUGUAGAAAUUAAGGCUGCUGAAUAAAUUAAAGGACUAGUGUGUAGGAUUAUAGGGUAGCGUGUCGGAGAAACUGUAUGUGGCUGCAAAAGACACCAAAGGCUCUUUGUAGAAACAUGGCGGUUCAACAUGGCAGCCUCCAUGAAAGAGGACUCACUCCCUCUGUAGUUAAAUUCAGGUGAUUACACACAAAUGAAAACAUGCCAAUGAAUAUUAUAUUCCAAUUCUGCCAAUAGAUCCUCCUAAAUGUCACACACUGGACCUCUAAAUGAAAUAUAUACUGUAUAAAUAUACUGAAUGUCCAAACAUAUACAUGAAUUUGGGGAAAGGUAUGUGUGCAGCAUUACUCGCCUAAACCAAAUGUAUUCUGACUGCAGAUGUAAAUCAAAACGACAGAACAGAAAGUUGCAAAUUUGCAUUUUGUCCCGUUCUCAUUAAUAUUAGCAUAAUAAGAAAGCACUGAAGGAUGGAGAGGCAUAUGCAGGGAAAUUGCACUGCUUAACAAAAAAGAUAUGCAGAUAAAAACAGAUCACUAGUGCAAUAAAACCAACAACAUUGUUAAGAUAAAUCCCAGCAUGGAAAAAGUAAUCCAGGAUGGAUCGUGUGGACAGUGCAGACAUCCGAAGCUGUGUGAUUAGGGAGGAUUUGAUGUGCUGUCAGUACAAAAGAGCAUCUAAAGUAAGGGUGAGCCGCAAGCUGAAGGUGCUGCAAGGAGUAAUAGCUCAUUAUAGAGGGUGGGAGGUGCUCUCUUAGAUGGAGUUUAAUCUCAUCCUCCCUUAGUAGCUGUCUCUGCAGUCUUUUCUCAUUUGUUUAUCUCACCUCCUUCUCGGUGUAGUCAAACUAGUCUCAGCACUGGUGAUAGGUCUGUGAUUCAUGAAUAAAUAAACGUCCAGUAUUCUACAUGUAGUAUGCAAAGCCAACGUGAAGUUCAUCAUUCUAACAGCGUCCCCCUUUUGAAUGUUUAAAACGAUUUUUAUUGUGGGAUAGAUCAACAAAUUAAAUGAAAUGAAAUCAAAGCUAUUGUUGCAGUGUUGAAAUAUCACCUUUUUUCCCUUCAAUUAAAAUAACUUUUUAGAUAUCUUUUUCUUUUUUUUAUUUACAGAUGAUCACACAACAGUUUGAUAUUGUAUUUAGAGUUUUGAAACGCUUUAAUCAUCCUGUAAUCCACAAAUGCAGGUUGUGUUUGAGUGCUGGUGCCUCUGUAGAUAUAUGUCAACUUUUUAGACAUUUGUAUGCACAGGAAGAAGGUUGAGUCCUUGCUGCAGCGGCCCAGGGUUCGCUGAUGUGCGGCCCUUUGCUGCAAGUCAUCCUCUCUCUCCCCCCUUUCCCUGUCACUCUUCAGCUGUCACUGUCAAUUAAAGGCAAUAAAACCCCUAAAAAAUCUAAUAUUGUCAGAUAUACUUCCUUUAGGCUGUCAAUACAUACAUGGAAUACUUGACAGAUA